CAGCGUUCACUUCUGCUUAAGGACAACUGCAGGAUGCAGACUUCUAAAUUAUACCUCCUGCUUUGUCUGGUUGCUGUGAUGACUUCAGCCCAGAAUGAACGGAACACCUCAAACGUUUCCUCGAAGAAAACAG